GAUGAACGCUGGCGGCGUGCUUAACACAUGCAAGUCGAACGGAAAGGCCAGUGCUUGCACUGGUACUCGAGUGGCGAACGGGUGAGUAACACGUGGGUGAUCUGCCCUGCACUUCGGGAUAAGCCUGGGAAACUGGGUCUAAUACCGGAUAGGACAAUGGUUUGGAUGCCGUUGUGGAAAGUUUUUUCGGUGUGGGGUGAGCUCGCGGCCUAUCAGCUUGUUGGUGGGGUAAUGGCCUACCAAGGCGUCGACGGGUAGCCGGCCUGGGAGGGUGUACGGCCACAAUGGGACUGAGAUACGGCCCAGACUCCUACGGGAGGCAGCAGUGGGGAAUAUUGCACAAUGGGCGCAAGCCUGAUGCAGCGACGCCGCGUGGGGGGUGACGGCCUUCGGGUUGUAAACUCCUUUCGCUAGGGACGAAGCGUAUUUGUGACGGUACCGGGAGAAGAAGCACCGGCUAACUACGU
rnacentral:rRNA from 1 species